AGAUGAACUCUUCUGAAAGAAAAGCAUGUCAGUGCUGACUUUUAAUGAACAGAAAGAGGUUUCCUAUGAGCUUAUACUCUUGUAGGAUAAUUCCAGAAAGUCAAGGCGGCACUGUGAGAUUUUGUCAAUGAGUUUAAUAUAUAUGUCCAUAGGUAGUUCAUAUGAAUGCUUAAAUUACAAAAUUAGCUGCCAUGGUCCAAAUGUGUGGGACUUUAGGAAAGCUUUUCUUACUCAAAAGAUAACUAAGACUAUCAACUUUGAUUUCUAAAAUGUAUUUUAAAGGUUUGUAAAACAAGGCUAAUUCUGCAAUUAUAUAAUAUUAAGGUUUAUGUUAUUUUUGUUAUUUUAAUAACAACUUCAUGAACUGUUAAAAAUAUUACAUUUGCAUCUCUCAGUUUACAUAUUUCUGUAUUAACCUAGAGAAAACCCAUGUGAAAAGUUUUCAUGCAGUUACAAAGGCAGUAGCACAUGCUGUUUUCACAGCAACUUGUUGUUAUUGCCUCAGAACAGGCCUGCACUAAAGCAUCAACAAAAAAUACCCCCCACCCCGCUCCCACCAGAAAACCCAACCCUUACCCAUCCCUGGCAAAAAUUACCUGGUACAAGCAAUGACCUAAAAAAUGCUUUCUUAGUAGGAAGCAUUUAUAAAAUGCAGCAAUCUGAACAAGCUAAGUGCUCGUGCAGAUACGUCGGCCUCUCCUCCAAGAGAUGCUUCCUCAAGAGGCGGAAAGAACUCUCAAUAAUUAGGAAAGCUCAUUUUCAAAAGUAUACUUACACAUAUUCAUGGACAUUUCUUUGAAAGAACAUAUCCAGCCUCAAUUAUGGAAAAGAAAAAAGCAAAAGAAGAAGCAAAGGUACACAGCCAUAACACAGAGAACACAGCUUCUCCAUGAACAUCCACCAGGCUGUAGCAACCAAGAAGGAAAAACACUUGGACUUCACAUGUAUCAGUGAUCUUACCUACGUGAAGCAUUAAUUUUUCAUGCAUUUGUUACUCAAGAAAAUAAACAUACAACCACUUAAAAUACAGCAUUCAUGUUGUCAUUGGUUUGUGGUAUCAGGUAAGGAAAAACUGGUGCUCCUGUCCCUAGACUUUUCCAAUGUCCAUGUCAGUAUCCUAAUGCCUACAGACUUCCUACUAAUUCUGUUAUCAGCAUUUCCCACCUCAAAACAUAUACUACAUUAUGUUCUGGGUCCCUGAAAUUUCAUUACCACAUACUGCAUUCUAAUUUUUACUUUUUCUCAAGUUUAAUGUAGACAUACAAGAAAACAUCAAGCAAUGUUUAUUGCGCAAUUCCAAUCAUUAUUUGUGGAAUCUUGGUUUAAAGUCAGUCUUUAUAGCCAUUUCAACUGCUUAGUUUAAACAAAAAGCAACAAUCUGGUUAUCUACCUGUAAAUUUCAUGGUAUUUCUUCAAACACUGAAGUACCAAAAGCACUGAUGAUUCAUAUUAUAAUUUUUAAAAUAUUUAAAACCUACACAGAUUUCAUUCCUUUUAUAAAAUAAUCAAAAUAAUUUGAUUAUCUG